rnacentral:rRNA from 1 species
GAUGAACGCUGGCGGCGUGCCUAAUACAUGCCAGUCGAGCGAACAGACGAGGAGCUUGCUCCUCUGACGUUAGCGGCGGACGGGUGAGUAACACGUGGAUAACCUACCUAUAAGACUGGGAUAACUUCGGGAAACCGGAGCUAAUACCGGAUAAUAUAUUGAACCGCAUGGUUCAAUAGUGAAAGACGGUUUUGCUGUCACUUAUAGAUGGAUCCGCGCCGCAUUAGCUAGUUGGUAAGGUAACGGCUUACCAAGGCGACGAUGCGUAGCCGACCUGAGAGGGUGAUCGGCCACACUGGAACUGAGACACGGUCCAGACUCCUACGGGAGGCGGCAGUAGGGAAUCUUCCGCAAUGGGCGAAAGCCUGACGGAGCAACGCCGCGUGAGUGAUGAAGGUCUUCGGAUCGUAAAACUCUGUUAUUAGGGAAGAACAAAUGUGUAAGUAACUAUGCACGUCUUGACGGUACCUAAUCAGAAAGCCACGGCUAACUACGUG